AAUGGGAAGCACUGAGGUUUACAAUAGAGGUUAGCACGUGCAUGGUCUGUUGUCUAAUAGCACAUUAUUAUGCAAUUGCAGGAACCAUUCUAAUAUUUAGGUUUUUAACAAUUUGGUUUUGCACAUGUAGGUCCUGCUGCUAGAGGUUUUGACCCACUAUUUGACCCUUUUUGCAUAUGGGAAAUGAGUUGUCCAUGAAUAUCAAUCAAAUCAAGAAACUUAGAAAGAUUGUUAGGAUAAAGAAAAUUAGCGACAAAAAACAAGAUCUCUCUCUACACAAUGAAGAAGACAUUAGUUAACUACAAGAUGGUACUAACUAUUAUCCCUUUCCUGUUUUUGUUCCUUUGCCCCAUUUCCUGCUUCCUUAAUAUGGAAAUGAAAU
rnacentral:lncRNA from 1 species